rnacentral:rRNA from 1 species
UAGAGUUUGAUCAUGGCUCAGAUUGAACGCUGGCGGCAGGCCUAACACAUGCAAGUCGAGCGGAAACGACAUUAUUGAAUCUUCAGAGGAUUUAAUGGGCGUCGAGCGACGGACGGGUGAGUAAUGCCUAGGAAAUUGCCUUGAUGUGGGGGAUAACCAUUGGAAACGAUGGCUAAUACCGCAUAAUGCCUACGGGCCAAAGAGGGGGACCUUCGGGCCUCUCGCGUCAAGAUAUGCCUAGGUGGGAUUAGCUAGUUGGUGAGGUAAUGGCUCACCAAGGCGACGAUCCCUAGCUGGUCUGAGAGGAUGAUCAGCCACACUGGAACUGAGACACGGUCCAGACUCCUACGGGAGGCAGCAGUGGGGAAUAUUGCACAAUGGGCGAAAGCCUGAUGCAGCCAUGCCGCGUGUAUGAAGAAGGCCUUCGGGUUGUAAAGUACUUUCAGUUGUGAGGAAGGGUGUGUAGUUAAUAGCUGCGCAUCUUGACGUUAGCAACAGAAGAAGCACCGGCUAACUCCGUGCCAGCAGCCGCGGUAAUACGGAGGGUGCGAGCGUUAAUCGGAAUUACUGGGCGUAAAGCGCAUGCAGGUGGUUCAUUAAGUCAGAUGUGAAAGCCCGGGGCUCAACCUCGGAACUGCAUUUGAAACUGGUGAACUAGAGUGCUGUAGAGGGGGGUAGAAUUUCA